rnacentral:rRNA from 1 species
GACGAACGCUGGCGGCGUGCUUAACACAUGCAAGUCGAACGGAAAGGCCCUGCUUUUGUGGGGUGCUCGAGUGGCGAACGGGUGAGUAACACGUGAGUAACCUGCCCUUGACUUUGGGAUAACUUCAGGAAACUGGGGCUAAUACCGGAUAGGAGCUCCUGCUGCAUGGUGGGGGGUGGAAAGUUUCGGCGGUUGGGGAUGGACUCGCGGGUUAUCAGCUUGUUGGUGGGGUAGUGGCUUACCAAGGCUUUGACGGGUAGCCGGCCUGAGAGGGUGACCGGCCACAUUGGGACUGAGAUACGGCCCAGACUGCUACGGGAGGCAGCAGUGGGGAAUAUUGCACAAUGGGCGGAAGCCUGAUGCAGCAACGCCGCGUGCGGGAUGACGGCCUUCGGGUUGUAAACCGCUUUCGCCUGUGACGAAGCGUGAGUGACGGUAAUGGGUAAAGAAGCACCGGCUAACUACGUG